ACUAGUUCAGUUGCCAAGGCCAUCAAUGUGUGUGGUGCCUCUUCAACCUAUGAACUGUGAACUUUCUCUCUCCCCUUCUUUCGUUUUCUUCUGAAAGUCUCCAUUUUUUUUUUUAAUUGGAAAUAGGAAGCCAUUUUUAAUUCCUGUUUACGUUUACAGUCCUUAUCGACCUCCAAAACGAGGGUUCGGUAAGUAGUUUUCAUGGUAGGUUAGGUUUAGUUUGUUUAUAGUUUUUUAUUUCCAUAUCAUGGCUGCUUCAUUGCUCUAUGGAGCUGAUAAUUUCAAAUUCAUCAGUGGCACACCAACUGGGGUAGGCUUUACAGGGUCAAAAUUCCAUGUUAGUUGCUUCCCUAAGAAAAAUUUAGUAUCUUAUCAUAGAAAUACCCAAAUUUCAAGGAUCUUAGCUCCUAGAUGCAGUAGUUUAUCAUCUUCAAGGCCUGCUUCACAGCCUAGGUUCAUUCAACACAAGAAAGAGGCAUUUUGGUUCUAUAGGUUCUUGUCUAUUGUUUAUGAUCAUGUCAUAAACCCUGGUCACUGGACUGAGGAUAUGAGAGAUGAGGCACUUGAACCGGCAGAUCUUUUUAGUAGGAAUUUGAAAGUGGUAGAUGUUGGUGGUGGUACUGGAUUUACUACUUUGGGUAUUGUUAAACAUGUGGAUGCCAAGAAUGUUACAAUUCUUGAUCAGUCACCUCACCAGCUUGCCAAAGCUAAGCAGAAGGAGCCCUUGAAGGAGUGCCAGAUUAUUGAAGGGGAUGCAGAAGAUCUUCCCUUCCCAACUGAUUAUGCAGAUAGAUAUGUGUCUGCUGGGAGCAUCGAGUACUGGCCAGAUCCACAGCGUGGCAUCAAGGAAGCGUACAGGGUGCUGAAAAUCGGAGGAAAAGCUUGUAUUAUAGGUCCUGUGUACCCAACCUUUUGGCUGUCUCGCUUUUUUGCCGAUAUGUGGAUGCUCUUCCCUAAGGAGGAAGAGUAUAUAGAAUGGUUUCAAAAGGCUGGGUUCAAGGAUGUCAAACUGAAAAGAAUAGGUCCAAAAUGGUACCGUGGUGUCCGUCGGCAUGGCUUGAUUAUGGGCUGCUCUGUGACAGGGGUUAAGCCAUUAUCUGGAGAUUCUCCCCUGCAGCUUGGUCCUAAGUCAGAGGAUGUGAAGAAGCCUGUGAAUCCAUUUGUGUUUCUACUGCGCUUCCUUCUUGGGGCCAUGGCGGCCACAUACUAUGUGUUGGUUCCCAUCUACAUGUGGGUCAAAGAUCAAAUUGUUCCAAAGGGCAUGCCCAUUUGAGAUGAGCUGAAGAAGCAAUGGGAAUCAUCAAUCAUCAUUUUGCUGUUGUGUGUGAAAAAGGACUAAUUGCGGAUCUGGUUAGCCUAUUUGUGGUCAAUUUCUCCAAUUCUCUGGCUCAAUUUGAAGGUUCAAAGUCUUGCUUUUGGACCAUGACCCUGCCUGGAAAUUGGCAAACCAACAUGUGACUUCUAAACCUCUUUUAAAUCUGUAAUACUUGUCAAUGUUUGUCUGACAGAACCCAGUAACCAGCAAUGCUUAUACGUAUUGUAUUGUAUUGUAUUGUAUUGGAUACAUAUACAUGUACAUAUGAAGCUUUGUCUGGGUUUGACAGUAGAGAUUAUGGAAGAGUAUUAAAGAGAAACCGCGUGGACAGCCCAAUCUUCUUGUGUU